AUUGAACGCUGGCGGAAUGCUUUACACAUGCAAGUCGAACGGCAGCACGGGGCAACCUGGUGGCGUGUGGCGAACGGGUGAGUAAUACAUCGGAACGUGCCCAAUCGUGGGGGAUAACGUAGCGAAAGUUACGCUAAUACCGCAUACGAUCUACGGAUGAAAGCGGGGGAUCGCAAGACCUCGCGCGAAUGGAGCGGCCGAUGUCAGAUUAGCUAGUUGGUGAGGUAAAGACUCACCAAGGCGACGAUCUGUAGCGGGUCUGAGAGGAUGAUCCGCCACACUGGAACUGAGACACGGUCCAGACUCCUACGGGAGGCAGCAGUGGGGAAUUUUGGACAAUGGGGGCAACCCUGAUCCAGCCAUGCCGCGUGAGUGAAGAAGGCCUUCGGGUUGUAAAGCUCUUUCGGCCGGGGAGAAAUCGCACGGGCUAAUACCCUGUGUGGAUGACGGUACCGGAAUAAGAAGCACCGGCUAACUACGUGCCAGCAGCCGCGGUAACAC
rnacentral:rRNA from 1 species